rnacentral:rRNA from 1 species
CACGUAGGGUGCGAGCGUUGUCCGGAAUUAUUGGGCGUAAAGAGCUCGUAGGCGGUGUGUCGCGUCGGCCGUGAAAACCUGCAGCUUAACUGUGGGCUUGCGGUCGAUACGGGCAUCGCUGGAGUUCGGCAGGGGAGACUGGAAUUCCUGGUGUAGCGGUGAAAUGCGCAGAUAUCAGGAGGAACACCGGUGGCGAAGGCGGGUCUCUGGGCAGUAACUGACGCUGAGGAGCGAAAGCGUGGGGAGCAAACAGG